rnacentral:rRNA from 1 species
AUUGAACGCUGGCGGCAGGCCUAACACAUGCAAGUCGAACGAGUGGCGGACGGGUGAGUAAUGUCUGGGAAACUGCCUGUUGGAGGGGGAUAACUACUGGAAACGGUAGCUAAUACCGCAUACCAUCGGAUGUGCCCAGAUGGGAUUAGUUAGUCGGUGGGGUAAAGGCUCACCUAGGCGAAGAGCCCUAGCUGGCCUGAGAGGAUGACCACCCAAAUUGGAACUGAGACACGGUCAAGCUUCGUAGGGGAGGCAGAAGUGGGGAACUUUGGACAAUGGGCGCAAUCCGGAUGCACACAUGCCGCGUGGAUGAUGAAGGCCUUCGGUUUGUAAAGUACUUUCAGCGGGGAGGCGUUACCCGCAUAAGAAGCACCGGCUAACUCCGUGCCAGCAGCCGCGGUAAUAC